rnacentral:rRNA from 1 species
CCCCAGACUCCUACGGGAGGCAGCAGUGAGGAAUAUUGGGCAAAGGCCGGAAGGCUGAACCAGCCAAGCCGCGUGAAGGACGAAGGGGCCAAGCAUUGUAAAAUUCUUUUGUCAAGGGACAAAAUCAGGCUCGAGAGCCUGACCGAGGGUACUUGAAGAAAAAGCAUCGGCUAACUCCGUGCCAGCAGCCGCGGUAAUACGGAGGAUGCGAGCGUUAUCCGGAUUUAUUGGGUUUAAAGGGUGCGUAGGCGCGAUUUUAAGUCUGGGGUAAAGUCCGGGGUCGCAACCCCGGCGAGCCGUUGAACCUGGCUGUCUUGAGAUGUCGAGAGGUAUGCGGAAUGCGCAGUGUAGCGGUGAAAUGCAUAGAUAUCACGCAGAACUCCGAUUGCGAAGGCAGCUUACCGGCGCUCAACUGCCGCUGAGGCACGAAAGUUCGGGUAUCGACCAGGAUUAGAUACCCCAGUAUA